rnacentral:rRNA from 1 species
UAGCAGAGGUCUCAAGCGUUGUUCGGAUUCAUUGGGCGUAAAGGGUGCGUAGGUGGCGCCGUAAGUCGGGUGUGAAAUUUCGGAGCUUAACUCCGAAACUGCAUUCGAUACUGCGGUGCUUGAGGACUGGAGAGGAGACUGGAAAUUCAUGGUGUAGCAGUGAAAUGCGUAGAGAUCAUGAGGAAGACCAGUGGCGAAGGCGGGUCCCUGGACGAUACCUGACACGUGAGGCACGAAAGCUAGGGGAGCAA